rnacentral:rRNA from 1 species
AGGGUUCGAUUCUGGCUCAGGAUAAACGCUGGCGGCAUGCCUAAUACAUGCAAGUCAAACGAGAGUACUGUACUCUAGUGGCGAACGGGUGAGUAACACGUGAAUAACCUGCCCUAAAGACGAGGAUAACAGCUGGAAACGGCUGAUAAUACUGGAUAGUAUAUAUUAUCACAUGAUUAUAUAUUUAAAGGCGCUUCGGCGUCACUUUAGGAAGGAUUUGCGGCGCAUUAGCUAGUUGGUGAGGUAACGGCCCACCAAGGCAACGAUGCGUAGCUGCGCCUGAGAGGCGAAACAGCCACAUUGGGACUGAGACACGGCCCAAACUCCUACGGGAGGCAGCAGUAGGGAAUUUUCGGCAAUGGGGGAAACCCUGACCGAGCAAUGCCGCGUGAAUGGAAUGAAGGUCUUCGGAUCGUAAAGUUCUGUUGUUAAGGAAGAACUAUAUAACUAGGAAAUGAGUUAUAUUUGACGGUACUUAACUAGAAAGCCCCGGCUAACUAUGUGCCAGCAGCAGC